GAAACAAUAACCGAUAAAACAGAGAAGGUGGCUGUAGAUCCUGAAACUGUGUUUAAACGUCCCAGGGAAUGUGACAGUCCUUCGUAUCAGAAAAGGUAGAAGAUGGCCCUGUUGGCAAGGAAACAAGGAGCAGGAGACAGCCUUAUUGCAGGCUGUGCCAUGUCCAAAGAAAACAAGCUUAUGACAGGAGAUGGUAUUCCACCCAGCCAAUUGGAUUCUCAGAUUGAUGACUUCAGAAAGAUAGGAUGAGGCAGAAAUCUGGUAGCAAUGCACCUGUGGGAGGAAUCAUUACCAGCAAUUUCUCUGGAGAUGACCUAGAAUGCAGAGAAAUAGUCCUUUUUCCUAAAAGCCAAGAAGAAAUUAAUGCUGAUAUAAAAUGUCAAUUAGUGAAGGAAAUCCGAUGCAUUGGACAAAAAUAUUAAAAAAUCUUCAAAUUGCUUUAAGGAGUGCAAGGACCUGUAGAAGUCAAGAAACUAUUUUUUUAAUCCAUCAUCAAGGAAGCAGCAAGAUAUAUGAGCCGAGACUUUGUUCAGCUCCUUGAGAAGAAACUGGAACAUAUGAUUUGGGAGUACUUGUCCAUGGAGGAUUAUCACACCCCAAAUGCAUAAUCUCAUUAAUGAUUCAAGAGAGAAAAGGAUCAGAUUGCUGUUUUCUGCAAUGGAGCAGGAUAUUGCUGAAGUCUCCUGGCAUAUGUUACUGAAUCAAAUGGCCUUCCAGAAGCUAAGAAAUUUCUGUUAGUAAAAGAUGUUCUUUUUCCCUAAGCAUUUCAUUUGAAAGAAUAACUUGUUUUUUGGUUGUUUUGUAUUCCCACCUGUGCUGGUAGAUAUUAUUAACCCAUUAGGUAAAUAGUAUUGCAGUCGUGGUUUCUGCAGCAGCUUACAUUGUUGUAGCUGGUAUUUAUAACUGCCUUUUUUCACUACCCAUUUUGCAUUCCCUUUGCCCUAAGAUAGCAUGUCAGUUGGUCAUGAUGCUUGGCCUGGCAGGAUGACUCAAACCUUCAUUAUGGAAGAGUCUGAACCAUUAGAUGUCCUGCCUGGAAGGGGUUGCUGUGAUUUUCCAUUAACUCUAAUUGCAAAACACCAGAGGACUAAGAAGCUCUCUAGACAUAUUAGACAUACUCUUCCUUAGCCCCUG
rnacentral:lncRNA from 1 species